AGUCAGAUGUCAUGGUAUUAACUGUAAGUAACCAAGAUUUAGGGAUUCAUAUCAGCAAGGUUUUUCUGGUGGUAAGGAGGAUGAAGGAGAGGAAUGCAUUAUCUGUAAGGUGUCAUAUCUUUCUCCCUGGAAGAUCUGAAGAGGACCCCAUGGAGUCCAAAAUAGUUUGUAUAGUCUAGUCUCCUAUGACUAGAUAAGUCCUUGCUGUGCCCAGUCAUCUCAGGCCAAAUAACCAUCCCCUUCCCAUUCUUAAUCAUCUCCUUCCCAUUCCCUACUCUGUUUUCCAGGCAAAGUAAAACAAGGUGUAGGCCACAAAGCCUAGAAAUAAAAAUUUCUUGCACGAAAUCCCUGGUUCAGCUGAUAUGGAGGGGUGUAAUGGUGUACUUCCACCACAGAUUGCAGCUAUUUGCCAGCUGCCAUCAUGGAUUAGGUAGAGAUAAACUGUCUGGCUUCUCUACAGAUUCUUUUCAGUCCUAUUUUUUGGUGAUCUGCUGCAGAAAAUAAUCAGAGACAGGUUUGAGCUGACAGCCAAACUGGUUGAUCAUCAUCAUGCUCCUUCAGAGUGGAAAACGCAUCCUAGCACAAUAUUGGCAUCCCAUAAUGUAGCUGUGUGGAGGUGAAAAGGUAUUGUCAGUUGUAGAAUUAGGCACCUAGUAGCACAGGUAUCAUUCUGACCCACCAGUCCAGAAUGCCAAAUAUUAUGUGAAGCUUUCACAGCCCUGGGGAUGAUAGGACAGGAAAGAAGGUAACUCUGCCAACUUUCUCAAGCGCUCGUCUGAGUAAGGAUACACUUGAUAAAACAACAUUUCAGAUUCUCCUGUUAAAACUUUGCCUCUUGAGUGAGAAAUUAAUUAAUUUUGACAGUUCCAAUGGAGAUGGGAAGAUAGACCUUGAGCUGCUUGACCCUUCUUCUCUUGCUCCCUUUCUUUCCCUUGAUAAACUUGUGCCUACCUACCAGCUCUAGAGGGAUGAAUAUAUGAAGUAAUUAGAUACUUCAGCAAUGGCAUGAGCCCCCUAGUGCCCUUGGAAAUGUCUCUAAGGGCUUCUCCUUCAUUGUCCUCCAUACUUCAGGAGUUGACUCUAAAGAGAAAAUUCUUGUAAAUUGAAUUUUCAGUUCUUCUAAAUUGAAAAAUAUGUGCCAAAGCUGUAAAAUUCUAUCUUUGGAGCUGGUGUGAGUAUCUGCCCUUGAGACUUUUCCAUAACCAUGGCAUAAGUAAAAAAUAAGGCACUGAAGAAACACUCUGAAUAAUAUUCUCAUUUCUUAGCUAACCUUUUAAAAACAGCUCUGAAUAUUAUGCAUUGCAUGUUAGACAUAAGAAAAAAAUCAUCUGCCAGCGCCAUUUAGAAAAGCUGAUGACUGUAAAGACUUUCAACACAAAGCUGCCACUGGUAAAACCUUACAGUGACUCAGCUUUGCUUUGCGUAAGAGCAGGUCAUUUUGCUACUUACUGUUGAUUACUGCAUUUAAACCCCUGAGAUCUUCCAAAGGUCUGUGAACUGUUAUGAAGUGCAUGUUAAAUUGUGGAUCUGUUAACAGAAAAAGUGAUUUUCAAGGACUGGUUGAUAAAAUUUAAAAUAUAAAGAUGCUCAGGUCCAUGGAUAUAAUAAAUACUUUUUCUUAUUCUACUGUAAAGCAAAACAGCUUUCAAGUUCAGGGUAAAACCAGGUGAAAAUAUUUUAUUCAGUAAGGCUAUAAAAAGUUCACCUACUUCUAUAUACAAAGCAGGAGAGAUUACCUGCUUUUGUGUUCAGUAUUACACCAAAGAGUAAAGCAGGAAUGUUAAGAUAUUAAAGUAAAAAAAGGCUCCAGAAAAAAAUUAUUUGUUCCAAAUCAGAUCAUGAAUAUAUAUCUAAAUAUAAAUAUUAUAUAAAGACUAUUCUAUAGCAUAUACACUUAAAAAAUGAGUGUAUGUGAAAAAUUCCAUACUAGACAGAAUAAUGGAGCUGGGUGCAAACUGGGCAGAUGUGGACCAGGCCUGGGUGGGCAGCAAGUUGAGUACCAGUCAGCAGUGUGUCCUUGCAAGCAAUGAACACAACCAGCAGGCCAAGGAAUAGGCACAUUCCUGGAAGGCACUUCCAUGGCCAGACUGGGAGUGCUGUGUCCAGAUCUGUCUCUUGCAAGGUGAGACUUACCAGAGAAGGAACGACAAUUUUGAGACUCCAGCAGCAAAUCUCUACAGUGGGCUGGAGAUGGAGUGCUGAGAGAGCUGCUUUUGCUCAGCCUGGAGAAGAGAAGACUAGAGAGGGUCCUGAUAUUUUUCUCCAACUGCCUAAAAGUGUAUUACAGAGAAGAUGAAACUUUACUUUCCUCCAACUGGCAUAUCUAUUAGUCAGGAUCCUGCAAAACUUGAUCUAAACUACACUUCCUGUGAAAAAUUCUAUGAUUCUGUUGUAUUCAUCUGGUCUGUUUUUAAAGUUUUCUUAUUAUGGAGAAUCUACUGUCUGCCCAGAAAAUCUAUUGCAGUGCUUCCUACAGGAGUGAAAAAAAAAAAAACCAAACAAAACUCAAAGCAGCUGUAUAUUGUGAGUGCACUAAAUCAGCUUCUUGAAAUAUUUGCAAACUUUAAAUUGCAGUGCUGUGACAAUGCCGAUCAGCCAGAUGGUGAAACAGAAUACACUGUAUUUCUUCUAGUUGGGUUGAAGGAAAUGGAAAUAGUUAGGAUAUGGAAGGAUAUGGAAAUAAUGGAAUUACAUUAUCUAAAGCAGGAGUUAGCAGCCUAUUCCUUGCUAGAAAUGGGAUAUGAAUUUCAAACCCCUUUGUCAGUCCCAGUGUUAAUCUUUAAAAAACUAAUGAUUAAAAUAGAUAUGCCUGAAGAACAUAUGAAAUUAAUUCAUUCCUUCAAGUAGUUCUCCAUUUCUAUUUUCAUAAGACAGGUAAAAUAUACUUGAAAUACAUUAUUCCUGAUUUAUGAUAUUCUAGGAAGUUAAUUGCCAAAAAUCCAUUGUGUUGCCCAAAGAUUGUUAUAUCUGGACAUUUAGGAAGAACCCCAAAAUCACGUUUCGGAAAAAAAAAAAAAAAAAAAAAAAAAAAAAAAAAAAAAAAAAAGCUGUAGAAUCUUAAUCUUAAGAAGUACAGAUUUUUCCUCCUUUUUUUUUUUUUUUUUUUGCUUUUUCACUGCAUUAGAUGCAUUAGAUCCCAGCAUCUAAUUUUGUUGUUCUUACAGGAGUACUAACAAAUCUUUCAUAAACUUCCAGCUAAUUUUAACUUCAUUGCCUAUCCUCUUGCUGACUUUUUUUCAUGUUUGUUUUAAAAGUAAUGUAGAUCAACCUCUUUCUGUAUAAGAAUUACUUUUAUUUAUAUAAUUAUAUUUAGAACAUGUAGUUUGUUCUUUUGCCCUCAAUAACAGGUACAUACCAUCAGCUCAGUGGUCUCCAGAGUCUCAUAUUCAGCAUGAAACCCUGUGCCAUGAUGGCACCAUGCUGCUCAUGUCAUUGUGUGAUCAGUUUGAUGAGGGAAAAGCAGAUAUCCUAUUAUACAGUUUUAGCUGGAAGUGGACUGCGUGGUAUUCUGCUGCUGAGGUACAGCCAUAUCUGAACUGCAUUUUUUCUUCCUGCCAGUUCUCUUUGCAAUUUUCUAAACUACUCAUUUAAUGACAUGCAAAUGCCUGAACAUUUAUUGUAGAGGAGAAAGGAUUUUAUUUCAAGGGUCAGGGGACUUUGUUAUUUUAUUUUGUUGACUCACAAGUUUAUGUAUGCAUUAACUAAGAACAAAUGAACAAAUAUUUUAUUACCAGUUUGUUCCUUACCUGUUGGUGGAUUAAUUUUCAAUGACUUUUAUAUCUCAGAGGUAUUUGCUUUGUUUUAAUAUGAAAGAUACUGUGGAGCAAUUUUCACAUUAUUUCAAUUUUCUCUGGUCUAUCUUUGGAAAAAUCAAUAAAAUGAGGUGAAAAUAAAGGCUGUGACUCACUGGCUGAUACACACAGAAAAAUGGCACUUUGCAAUGCAUUUUUUAAAAACAACUAUGUAAAGAUUCCCUAUGGUUUGGUUCAGAUUUGCUCUCCCAACAGAUCUAAAAUCCAUGGUGACCACUAGCAUUGUCAUAGGGAAAUUUCAUGCAAACCAGCUGGAACGGGAUGCCACAGUGUCUCUUUUUCAGCUUUAGGCUGCAUUUCUAUGGAAAUGGUCUUCAGAUACUGAAAGCUGACACUGAUAUCUGAGAACUGAAAGCCUUUUUAUGCCCUGGAGCUCAGAAUUUCCUCUGGCAGGUUUCUAUUCUGCUGCUGAAGGGAACCUGGACCUGGGGGGCUGCAGGGUGGAUUGAUGGUAUCUGCCUGCAUUAUCAAUCCACCUACAGUGCUUUUGGAGCAAUGUGUGCUCAUUUUAAAAGUCACAGACAUACUUGGGGUGGUUUUAAUAUGGAUGAAUUUGCUGCCUGUCUUUCAGUGGGGUGAUGAGUAAUUUGAUUUUCUUUUCCUCCAGUUAAAAUGAAAUACAUAUUUAAUGGCAAGGCUGUGGGAUCCUUUCAAAAUUGGUAUUUUUCAUCACAGCUUAUCCUGAUCCUAAUAGGAGCAUGUUGCUCCUAAUAAAACAUUGACAUUUUAUUUGCCAGAGUGUUUGCUGUCUUCAAAAAGAGACAUUCAUUGGCUCUUAGCCACUCUUCAGCGCAGCACUACUUGCCCUUAGAUUGCUAUUAUGUACAGCAUUGUUGUUGUUAUUAUCUACCACAAUUACUGCUGCUCAGACAUGAGAUGAGCUGUGUUAAGGGCUACAGACUAAUGUAAGGCUCUGACUUCAAAUAUUCUGCAGUAAUUAGACGACUUAACCAAAGUUUUUGUUCUACCUUUCAAAGAACAUUAUGCUCCAAAUAUAAUGAACCAUGGAUAUUUUAACUUCCACAUUGAUGUCUUCAAAAAUAUUCUCCUUUCUGUUUCUUGAUCUUGUUUUGGGCCUCAGAAUUACUUUCCUCUUCAUUACUCCCUGUGGAGAGUGAAUUAUUUCUUCACAUCUGUCUUGUCCCACAGGCUCUUCCAUUCAUCAGGUAUUCACAGUGGGUUUGUAUCUCUUCUCCUUGAUCCAACAACUAGACUUCCUGUAAUUUCUUAAAUUUUGCUUUAACAAAGUUGAUUGCCAAUCAAGAAUGCAAGGAGUAUAGACUGUGAUUAGACACAUGGAAAUCAGACCCACAAAUAUAAGUGUGCUUAGACUAUACUUGUAUAAUCAAGAUACUCUGUGAAACAUCAAGUAGAUGUUAGAGCAGCAGUGGCAAUUUCUGUGAGAAACAUUAUAUGAGCUGUUAAAAAUGCUCCAAAACAGGGUCUGAUACAACACAGCAGCUGUCCCAUGCUAUUCCACCCUGCUCCUGUAAUUUUUAAAAGAGAUUGUUACCAUUUAGGAGAUAGAACAAGAAACAAAAGUUAGGUAUAGCAAGAUAGCACAACAAAGACUUUCUAUAUUGAAUUAGAUUCAACAUUAGAUUAGAUUCUCUGACUCUGGUUGCAUUUGUACCUGUUUCACUAUAUGUAACUGAAGUUUUUUACUCAGAGAACCGGUUGGGAUGGAUUCUAUUCACAUUUUCCUCUAGAUUUUCAAAACCAUUUUAAAUCCUGAAUUCCAUAGCAAAGGACAAAGUACCCACAUAAUUCACUUCUUGAGCAUUUUAUUCUCAAACUACAGACCAGCUUUCAAAAGGAACAGGCAUGCAGUUGCACAUGUGCAAUUAUAUAUAUUUAUAAAUUUAUACAUAUAUACAUACAGAAUAUGCUUAUAUAUUGUGUAAGUGCAGGCUGUGUUAAAAGAUACAGCAUUUACUGCUACAAUAUUCCUCUCUUUAUUCUAGCACAUCUGUUUUUUUCCACAGAAAAACUAUGACUUUUUAAAAAUACCAACUUAAAAAAUGUUGAUAAUAGAGUACCUGUGUGUAAUCACUACUAUAAUUUGCAAAAUUAAAAUAAAUUGAGUGACAUGGUAAAUAAAUGUAAGGUCACUGAAAUUAUUAGGAUAAGGCACAUUCCAGUAACUCCUCCAAAUUGCAAUGCAAUGGUGCUGUCAGCCUCACAAGUGCCUCCCUUGGCAAUAAGAUCUUGUGAAGAACUCCUGUAGGAGGAAAUGGGUAUGACAGAAAUGUAGCGCCUAGUUCUGACCCAUGAUUAAUAAAUUAAUUCAAACUGGCACAGGGAAAUAAGUUGUUAAAAUGUGGGCAGCCUGAACUUCCUAUCUUUAAAGCAAGACAAUGCCUUUUAUACCCAUAGCUGCCUCAACAGUAUUCCAAUGGUAGGUCCCUAAGUGUCAAGGGAAGGCAUGGAAAGCAAGAAAAAAAGCAGGGAAUGGAAGGUUAUGCUUUAUUGUGCUGACUGAAUUUUUUAUAGCCAUCUGUGUUGAAAGAAAUAGUCUAGAGAUUCAUGGAAGAUUGGAGCAGGAAAGUAAUGAAAAUACUAAUACAUUCUGGAAACUACUGAACUGUAUAUUUCAGAAUGGUCUUUUUAUUUCCUACCUAUUUUCCUCCCUGUCUCAAGUUUCUAUUCUGCAAUAAGUCUUUAUGCUAAUUAAGAGAGGCAAGAAUACUUAUAUGCCUUUGAAUCAAAGAGGAUGUUUGUGAAAUGCAGAAAAGGAUGCUGUGAUUUAUACUGGUUUUCUGUGCUGUAGUUCUAUUUUAGCAUGAUGGAGCCUUGGUUCUGGUUUAAUGCUUAGUGAUAGACUGGGCUGGAAGGAGCUUUCAAAUAGCAUUCCUCUUUUGUAUAAUAAGGGAGUAUGUCAUAUUGAUGGUUUUGAUAGCUCAGCAGGUGUUCCAGUCUCAUACUUCUAUGGCAGAGGGAAAAAAUGCAAGUUAACUGAAGGUUCCCAUUAUAAUUGGAGUGUGUCUGUGGGUUACAAUUAGUCCAUAAGGCAAUCCUAUAUUGUUUUGCUUGUAAGAAGUAUUUGAAUGCUCAUUGUCUUUUGUUUUUUGUUCUAAUUUGUCGUGCUCUUGUGUUUUCCUCUCAGUCACUUCCUGAUUACAAUGUUGUUAAAGUAAGUCAUGAAGUCUAAGCCUUCAUUUCAAUGAGGUAUGGGGAUGUAUAUACGUAUUACAGUCAAUAUCGAUAUUCAAUAAAAAAGCAAUUACAGAUAAGCAUGUCUGCCAGCUUCUGCUUGCAAACUGUAAACAGCUGAUCAGAGACUGAUUUCAUCUAGUGAGUCAGAUGCUUUUCUUACAGUUAAUUGGUUCAGAUAAUAUUUUUUGUAGAAUGAAUCUCACUCCCCAAAUGGAGUGAGAGAAUUGUUCCAUUUUGACAAGGUUUCAAACCUCUGCUUGCCGUUUCAUGCUGGGUUUGGCUGGGGUAGGGUUACUUUCUUCAUGGUGGCUGGAAUGGGGCUGUGUUUUGGAUUUGUGCUGGACACAUGAUGAUAAAACAGAGAUGUUUUUAUUAUUGCUGAGCGGAGUUUAUACAGGGUCAAGGCUUUUCCUGCUUUUUGUUCUGCCACGUUGGCAAGGGGACAAGGAGUGAAUGGGAGGUUGGGAGGAGGCACAGCCGGGACAGGUGACUCCAAGUGACCAAAGGGAUAUUCCAGACCAUGGAGCAUCAUGGUCAUACAUACUAAGUGCGGGGGAAGAAGGAGGAACUUGGGGGACUUUUGGAGCAGUGGUGUUUGUUGUCACAAGCCACCUUUACACGUGAUGGGGCCCUGCCCUCCUGGGCGUGGCUGAGCACCUACCUGCCCAUGGGAAGAACUGAAUUAAUUCCUUGUUUCUCUUUGCUUGUGUGUGUGGCUUUUCCUUUCCCUAUUAAACUGUUUUAAUCUCAACCUAUAUGUUUUAUUUAGAUUCUCCUCCCAAGUGGAUCAGGUUGGUUGGGGAGAGGAGGGUUGAGUGAGCUGCUGUGUGGUGCUUAAUUUUCAGCUAGGCUUAAACUAACAUAUUUCCAGAGAUACUGUAGAAAACUUUAUUGCAAGGGCUUAAUUCAGCUUUAGCAGUUUUGCUGAUUCCACCAUCUGCAUUGUAAUCUAUUUCAUCUCUAUUUAAAUUAAAGAAGAUCCUGAGCAAGAUCAUCAUCUGUGCACAAGGUUGCUAGCAAGGACAAACUUGUAAGACUUUUGGUGCCAGCUUCAGCAUCUGAAAGUCUGUAUGUCUUCUUCUGAGCUGAAAGCUCCUUUCCAAGUGUCAUCUUCUUUUCACUGUAGCAUCUCUUGUCAGGGAGAUCACUCUGGGAUUUCCCAUCCAUGUAUUUUGACACAUGAUACUAUAUAACCGUAUCUAUGGGUUAUGUAAUAAACAAAGGGAUUAGUAAACAUCUAGGAGCAUGUAAGUAUGUUUCCAUUCCAAAUUAUUCAACAACUCACUACAAAUUUUUAUUAGCAGAACUUACCUAAUAUUAGUUCCAUUGUCUUUUUGAGACCCAUACAAACACUGAAUUUUUAUUGAUCAUAUUCUUAAAGCUCAUUGUUUGCUUUAUUUAAGUUAUGACCUUCAUAUCCAGUGUAUAGAAUUUGAUUGAAUAUAUGGAAGAUAAAUCUGAAAAAACCCACUUACAUGUUCUAUGACUUUAAAUUAAGAAGUUAAACUCAGUAAUUGGUUCACCUUCUGUCCUAUCCACAUUUAAGGCAAGAAGUCAUAUUUCUAAGUAAAGAUUUGUUUAUCAAGGAUGAAGUUGAGAUUGAGCUCACUGGAAAAGAAUAAAUCAUUUUUGUUUCUUCAUCAUCUUACAUGGUUAUGGCUGGCUGCCUACAGCUAGAAGAAAAAAAAUUUUCCCUUUGAGCUUUUAUUAGAUUUGGCAACCAAAGGCAUUUUAUAAUUUACCAUAAAAAUUGCUGCCAUUUAUCAAAAGCUGACAACCAACUCUUAAUGAUGCUGAUAAGGGUGGUUAGAGUCUCUGACCACCAAAUGAUAAUCAGGUUCUGGAAAUUACUGGGAAAAUGCAAAAGCAUGACAACUUUUUUACUCCACACAGAAAGUCAUGGACCAAAGCAAGAAGAAUCCCUUCUCCAUUUAAAUGCAUGCAAAGAAAAUAAAUUGCUUUUCUUUUUCCGUUUUUAUUUUUAAUCAGGUAAUUUAAUGGUUGUUAGUAAUAAAACUGGCAGAAAAGCAAACAGAAUACUUUGACAAGUACUGUGGUUGAAAGACUCCAGUCAAUUUAUUGCAUCCUACAUGUCAGAAACUCAUCCAAAUCACGACAAGCAUUGGAUGCUCAAUUUGGGCCUUACACUGAAGCCUGCUGGCAGUAAUCCAUUGUAGCUGGCCCUUACAGAGUUACUGACAGAAGGAUUCUUUCCUCAGCUGUAACAAAUUGAUCCUUUUCAGCAGCAUAUAGAUAAAUAUAUAAAAUCCAUUUCCUGGCUUGAACAGGAUACAGGAUCAGUUUUCAAAUAUUUAUGCCUAAAUUCUGCACAGAUAGGCCAGUGUACAAACUAGGUAUGCUUUGUGCACUUAAUAAAGAGAACUCAAAGCGAAAAAUUCAUGUUACAGAUACAAAGCUGUUGCUUCUGCAACAGCCCAUUAAUGAAAAGUUUAAUUAUCUAGCACAUGAAGUUCAAUCAGAAGAAAUUAAUCACAUUUUCUGGACACAGGCUAUUAACAGGCUUUCUGAGGGCUAAUCUGCUUUUUAAAUAUAAUUCUCCAUCAUAUGCAGCUAUUUGCACCUUCUUGACCUCUGUUCAGAUGAGGAGAGAACAGGGCAGCUCAUGCAGGGUUAAUGAAGCCAAAGCCAUAUAGCUGGAUUUCACAUUUUUGACAAAAUUUUGAAGGGGAAAAAGCCUAAUUUAGGACUAGUUUUAAUCAAAAAUUAUUUAAGGAGUGUCAGAGCUUUUAGGGAUAUAUAAAUUUCUUUGCAUCCCACCGGCGCUAGUUUUUGCAUCUGUUUAUCCAUAUCUUGAGAAUGUCCUUCAUGGACAAACCAGAGCUUUUUGGGGAGGGGGGUAAGAGUGGAAACAUUACAGACCAAACAAAAAAACCCAUACAACAAAAAAAGCCCCAAGAUAAUUAAUAGGUUAUUGCUCUGCAUUGCUGUAAAUAGUUUUUUGUUGGUGGUGAUCAUUACCCAAAACUUUUUCAUCCUCCAGAAAAGUGUUUUGCUAUGAUAAAUCUUUCAGAAAGAAGACCUCAGAUGGCUGAGGGAUGUCAGAGUUCAAAUAUCUCAUGGUAUAGAAUGAAUGAGUGCUCACUUAUAGGUCCAUUUAGGUGCUCAUUUCUUUUUUAUACAGGAGUUUAUUUUAUUGGUCACUUUCAUGUUUCAAAUUCCCUUUAUCCUUAUCCUUAUCCAUUCUUUUUUGAAAACAUAGACUCAUUUCUUGCUGGUUUAACCUUCACAAUUCUCUUUAUAAGUUUUUUUUUACAUGGUCCCUUGCUUUGCCACAGUAGGAGAAGUGUGAUUUCUGUGGCUGUGAGUGUUUAGAACCUGAUAAAGGUGCAGCAGUGUCUUUGCCAAGCUGCUCACAGUCACUACACCCCAAAAGAGUUACUCCAUCAGCAGCCUUUGCCUUUAAUUACUUCAAAUGCCUGGAGGCUAAUAUAAUAUAAUAGGCCUAUAAAAUACAUCAAUACAAAGAGCUUCUCAGGGGGCCUGAAUAGCAGAAGAUGUGUACAGUUGUAUCAGUCAGAAAUCAUGGCAUAGGAAUAAAAAAGAGCUCUACGAAAACUGCCCAUUAAACAAGAUGAUGCACUGACUUUCCUAAAAACCAUAAGAAAUCUAAAAUAUGUCCUCAAUAAAAGGAAAGACAAAUCUAGAUUUCCAAGGGAGCAGUGCACAAUAUGUAUUUCUUCUGCUACUUUCACGGAUGGAACUUGGAAAGAAGAAUACUAAUUUCCACAAAGUCAUAGAAAAAUAUGAAAAAUAAAAGGAUUUUUCCAUAAGGAAAAUUUUAACUGAGAUUCACACACAGUUGUAAAUGGGAAAAAGUUAAUAAUAAGUGGGCACUGUUCAGCCUAAAAUACAGUGAAGAGAGAACCUUUGGAAGUUUUUGAUUGCUCCAGUUUAAAUUAGGAAAAGACAAGUAAAACAUGUUAUGUAUAUGUGUAUAGAUAUUCAGAUAUUCAAUUGUAGAGAACAGAUUAUUGACAGUAUCUUAGUCUUCAAAGAGGUUUCUUAAAACAGCCAGUUUUGUUAGUAUAGAUUUGAGGCUUUGCUUGCAAAGGAACCAAAAGAAGAGGAAGUUGGUCUUUUAAAUGUUCAUAUUUCUGUUAACCUUUGGACACAUUUUGAAGUGGAAAAAACAUCCUUAUAUAUUGUGUUUUUUCCUUUUUGCUAAAAAAAAUAGUCUGAAAAUUUUUAUUAGCCCCCGUUGAAAAAAAAAAAAUACUCCCUUAUCCUUUAAUAAUCACUGCUGACUAUUAAAAUUCAUUUAUAUUCAUCCAACAACAAUUUUAUUAAUGAAAUAUCAAAAUGAGGAAGCUUGGUCAUCUCUUGUCCUCAGCCACCAUCAUGAUUUCAGCAUGACUCAGUAGAGAUUGAAGCAUGAGUUCACGCAGAACUUGUAGCAGGGCAGGGUCCCAAGGGGAGAGAGCUGGGAUCCAAGUGCUUUACUGUGAUCCAAGUUAAGCCCUAUAACCAAAGUGGUGAUAGUAGCAUGGUCACUGCUUUGGAUGCUAAGAAUGGAGCUGGGAAGGAAAGUAUCUGAUUCAAAGGCUUCUUAACUGGGGAGCUUCUUCCCUGAAAUUCUAAUUAGAACAGUCAAUUAUCAAUGUUUUAAGAACUUUGUAUAAUUACCAGGUAAAAUCAAAGGUUCCAGGCAUGUAAGAAGCAUUUUCUCAGACAAGAAAGUGAGAGAAACUUAUAAGUGAGUUUGUUUUUAUUUCUUUACAAUGUCAUCUCAUUGCAUGGAGCAGGUUUUCCAAAUCCAAGAGAGAUUAUCAAUAUAGCUGCCACCAGGUAUUCCUGUAUGAGGCAGUUAUUGACUAUGUUGUCUUUCUGAUGAACAGGUUGUAGAAUUAAAGCUUGAAUCUGGAAAGGAUUUAUGUAUAUUGACAUGAAUAUCAGCUCUGUGGAGAAGUGCUCAUCCUCAUUUGAUAGAGGAGGUCACUGUUCUCAGAACUGUUGCCAUACAGUUUUGAGAGCUGUCAAAAGCCCCAAGUAAUCUGUACUUCUCAUUACUAGAAAGUGAAAGAAGAUCACUUUGUGUUCAGGCAUUUUUUGUUCAUAGAGUGAAAUUUUGCUAACAGGGCAACCUUUUCAAAUCGUGAUAUUUAUCCACCUUUUCAUUUAGUGCAUUUCAUGGCUGGGGUUGUUUUUUGCAGAGGGACACAAAAAAACAAAAGCAAGAUUCAUUGAAGGAUGUAGAUGAAAUACAGAGUCCUGGAAAAAACACUGUGUAAAAUACACAGGGAAAGACUGAUGCCUCAGGAUAUGAGCAGAGCAUCCAUCCCAUAGUCUAUUGGUAGUCCUUCCCUUUCCACUGGGGUCAUCAGAAGUUCAGAACAUAAGGUCCACUGGGCCAGCAUGAGAACAUGAAAGAGGGGACUGGAUUCUGGAAAUUAAAAAUUAGGAAGUGAAGCAAGAGAGCUACAUUAAAAAAAAAAAAAAAAAAAAAAAAAAAAAAAAAAAAAAAGUCAGACGGGUUCUUGUAUAAACCGUUAUGAGGAAAUUAUCUCCAUAACCCCCCUUAAGGCAAACGAUAUGUAGCCUCUCAGCCACAUUAUCUUGUAACAAAUACAUUACUACAGAGGAGCCUGAUCUGAUGGCUGUAUGUGAGGUGCAAUCUGGCAACACCUUCUGGAUCUGAUCUAGAUCUGAUCCCACAGGAAUCUUAGAGGGUGGGGCAUUAGCUGUACUUAGGGGUAGGCUGCUAGAUGGUAUGACUGGGGACAUUUUGGAGACUAGGUCUAGGAAACUGGAGAACCUUAGGGAGGUAUCCAAGGCAUUAAUUUCAUAAUUGUGUGGUGUCUGUCUGGGAUGACAAUCUAUUUUUUACAUGCCUUAAAUUCCCCUUCUACCUUGUUCCAGGCACUGGUGUGGAAUAGAACCCUGAGACUUGUGUGUUUUAAGGUUUCAACAUCACAUCAUGCAAGCCAGGACUGACAAAUUCCUGCUGCUAUCAUUUGGAAGGUUGUGCUUUAUAUUUCUGAUCGCAUUCCCAACAGUGAAGUUGGGAGACACAGCAAGGCAUUCAGAUGUACUCUUCAGCCACCAGAGACACACUUGAGUGAAUUACUAAUCUCCCUAGACACCUGGAAUGCAGAUAAUGAAUUUGUAUGUACAGCCUGAUCAUCCACCAGAGCAAAUCAAAUAAUUCCUCGCUCUGCUGUGACAGGAGGAUUUUAAAGCUCCUAUUCUGAAACUCCCCUAUUGGCAUGGCUAGAUCCUCCAGAGCGCUAACAGCUGUGCUGCCUUUCAACAGCCUUUCCUUCCAAAAGGAGAAAUGACAAAUUCAGUAACACUGGGCUAAGCUGAUAAAACAUACAGGCAUACAUGACAGUCCAAAACCAUUCUUCAAAGCAGCAGCUGACUUACAAUUCAUGAUAUAAAGCCCAGUGGCUUGGCUGUGUGAGAUUUCUAGUUGUUGUGAUUUGGUCAGGUCUUCCAGUUUCGGGCCAGCACUAUGCCAGGCUGGGACACCCAGCUUUCAGUACAAGGGGCACUGCAGCAACAUUAACAUGUACAUAAGAGAUGCCAUGUUCCUCUAGGGCUGGCAGCAUCCUGCUCUCUCACUUUGAGUGAUAGUGGUUGUGAUUGCCAGGAGCUUUGUCUGCCUCCAGCAGCAGCCUGGCUCUUCACUGGGAUUGCUCCCAGCUGGGCCAGAGCACACCUGCAGCGCACCAGGCUGUCCCCAAACAUCACCCUUGAGUUGUGCAGAUGUUGUACUUCUGUGUUUAUAGAGAAGCAAAUUCUGGGGAUGGCUAUAGAAGUCUCCAGCAAACACACAAUACUUGAAAGGGAUGUUCUAGAGCCCUAUUUCCUGUGCAUGACUGUAAGUCCAGAUGAUGAAGGAAGAGAUACUGGCAAACAGCUGGCCAAAGAGGGGAAAAGUGCAUACAGAGAAAGUGGUGAAAAUCUCCCCAAUGUGCUAAGCUUCACAGUCUGUUGUGUCUGGAGAAACAAAAAAGCUCACAUCAUCAAGAAACUGCUGUGUCUGCACAAGGCCGUGAGCACACUUUAAUGUCAGCAGAGACUUGUUUGCAUCCACAAGGGCAAUGGCUGCUCUGUGCAAACAAAGCCUGCAGGAUGAUGCACGUAUAUCAUAGAAGAAACAUCCUCUGAAAGGCUUUCCAAAAUCUGGCCCCAAAGCCACUAGUGUGGCAGUCCAGCCUGCCUCUUCUCAAUAGAGAGCUGGAGCUGUAUCCCAUCUCUUGCUCCAGCUGGGCAACAGCAGCAAAAGUAUGAUUGAAUUAGAUCACCUCAUCCCUCUCUCCUUGAAAAGGGAGUUUUCAACAGGGAGAAAGAGUUGUCCAAAAAUUCCAUAUUUGCUCAGAAAAUAGAAUGAUGAGGACGGCUCACAGUUUUUACAUCUUGCCUUGUUGGUACACUUUUUUUAUUAUAGAACGUCAUGCCUCAUCCCAACAUUUCUUUCUUAACUUUCCAGCAAAUUUGGCACCCUACAACUUUAUCACUGCAUCACAAAUCAAGGAGCAUGCAGUUGAGGUUGUGGACAGUCUACUUUGCUUUGAAGAGAUAAAACUUACAGCUUUUUUUCACUCUUUUCUUAUACAACCUUUAUGUUUCUUAUUGCUGAUGUGUUCUGUGGCAAAGUGAGAAAGUGUUGUAGGUUACAAUUCAUGUAUGAGAGAUGAUGAGAGAGACAAUAAAUCAGUAGUAUUGUACUUUUCUUAUAUCUCAAAGAACUUAAUAUCUGCUAAAACUCAGGCAAGACCCACCUAGGGGUGAAAUUGAAGGAGACACAAUUAAUAAAUAACCUUAAUAAGAAUUUUACAUUUAUCUUUCAAGUAGCCAUUAAGGAAGUUCACACAAAAGUUCCUUUUAGUCUUCCCUUAAAUUACUCCAUUUUCCUCUGCUCUACCUCUAGCCCUGAGGUUUGAAAAGGUUUUUAUAAACCUAUGCAAGGAGGAACGUAGGCAGUUCUAAGUGCUCUCUUUGUCUUUUUGUAGGUCCUUGUAUUUGCAAAGUAUAAACCAACAAUUGGCAAAUACGCAAAGACCGUUCGUCUUCCACUCUGGAUAAAUAACUUGAAACUAAAGAGUGUUUCUUUGGUUUCCUUUUUUUAAAAGAUCUUAUACUAGCUUUUCUUUUCAAGUGUGUUUUGAAGAGGAGGCCAUCAUUAGGGAAUUCUGUAUGAGCUUAUUUUAUGUUUGUUUAUCAGAUGUUUUCUGUAAGAAACUGCUAAUUAAUUGCUGAUUGAUAAAAAUUAAAUAGGCAGCUACAAUUCCCUGAAGCAGCAAGCAGCAGCUGAAUCCAGUGCUUUGGGGAAGAAGCUUUUCCAGGGACUGCAGGUCUAAUGAAUACAUUGACACAGCAGGUCAAUUGCUUCUGAUCAUGUGGAAUUUUGUUCAUUGCUCUAACACUGCUGAAACACUGUGAAGGAUACAGGUGCCUCUCUCUAUAUAUAUUGUUAACGCCUGAUGUUUCUGUCCUCAUCCAUUCCAGUAGUUUGCUUCUGUAUGUGUCAGCAAUUUGAUGAAAAAUUUGAUUUUUUUUGGGUGAUUUGUUUUGGCAAUGUCAUUUUAAUUAUUUGGUCCCAUUUACCAAAUGGGGCUAAUGGUAGCCAGUUAAAAAUGGCUGAUCUCUACACUGUGACAAAAGAUCUUUCAGAGGUACCAAGUUCACCUAUUAAUAAAAGCUCUUGGAUUGAGUUGGGUUGUUUGGUUUUUUUAAUCCUCUUUCCCUACAUUACAUGAAGGCACUGCUUAAAGUGGGACUCCAGAGGGACAGAAACCUUUACAAGAACAGCUGUUCCUUUAGUGCAGAAACCUCUGCCAAAUAACAUCAUGGGCUCAGGCUCUGUCUUUUUGGCUUAAUAGGAAUUAAAUUAGUGCCAUGACAAAUUGUCACAGGUUCAUCAGCUGGCCUGAAAAUGAAUUCUCUUAUGAAGUGUCCAUUUUCUGUUUGCAGGGAGUGUUUUGAUUUUUAGGAUAACAAUGGGAAGCAUUGUUAUCCUAAAAUCUAUUCAGCUUUUUAUCCUAAAUACUAUUCAGCUUUUAAAAAAAUAUACUGGAGGCACUUCUUUUUCCACAUCUAUUUUAAGAUUUUAAUGCCAAGAGGAUCUAAUUAUGUACUAAAGCCAUGUAGGUACUUGUGCUGAAGCCAUGUAGGUACUUUGAAUAAAGAUGUAAUUAUGUAUGCAUUACAUAUGUAAUUAUGUUCUGAUUGGACCAGGGCCAAAGUGUGUAUGUGUUCGCUUACAGAUUUUUAAAUGAACGUGGAUAAAUGAAGGAAUGAUAAGGCAUGACAUUUCUUUGGAGGUGUAUGGAUGAUUUUUUUUCCAAUUUGGUAACCAGGCAAAAGAAUUAUUCCUGAAGAUCUCACCUAAAAAAAAGCCUACAAAACUUCAGCUCUUUAAAUGGAAAGGACUGGUCCUCAAGGAGGAUGACAUUACUGAAGGUUCAUUAGCUCAAGCAACAGUGAACCAGAAUGUUUCUGGUGGGAAAGAUACUUGUCAAUAUGAUAAAAUGAUGGGAUUUUCUUCAGCUUGGUCCAAUGAACAAGCAAAAGAUGACAUGCCCAGAUUUCAGAAUCUGAGACUUCUUGUACUAAAUAGAUACUGUGUUUUUGUUUGGUUGAAGUUUUUGUUUCUAAUAUAAUAUUUUUUUAAUCAAAACAUAGAGAAGUUGUGGAGAAAAUUACAAUUUUAGAAAUUGCAUUGUACAUUGUCAUUGUGGUCUUUAACUUCAGGAUUUCCUUGUAUGCUGCCCAGUGUAGAACUGGUUUGGGACUGAAUCAGGAGCUCAAUUUGUUUUAGUACACAGGCACUGAGCUGAGGAUCAGGCAGGUACUAAAGGGAAAGGAGUCACCAUAUGCAGAGAACAUUGCCCCAGAAACUAGGGCCCAGUUCUAAUUUACCCACUGAUGCUUUGUGUAGCCCUGGACAGAUCAGGUAAAUCUAAAUUUUCACAGGCGGUCUUUGAGAUUGUUUUCUUUUUACCCAUUUUCCAGUUGAAUUGGGAACUCUAGUUUAUAAAAGCAUAAACAGCUACCACAGCUGAAGUCUCUGCAAUUUGUCUUAUUUUGAACACAUAUUUCUAAAUAGCACAAAGCUCUCUGGAAAUUCAGACCUUACUUCUUCAAACAGGACAUUCAUAUUAAUAAAUAUUUAUCCUUACUCCUCUGCGCCUAAAUUCCCCCUUUUAUAUUGGGAAUGAUACCUUUGUGCCUGUUCCCCCUGCCAGCUCACACACAGAAGGAAAGGAAUUAUCCUGUUGUGAGAACAGGGCUCAAAUCACACCUGCAAAAUGCAAAACAUAUGUUUUCAAUGCAAAGGAGUUCCUGGCCCUCCCUGUCUUAAAAGAUGAUGGUUGUUAACCAUGGCAGAAAUUUGGAAAAGUCCAGGUCUUCAGGCUGUAGGGGUGGCUGUCCUGACAAGUGCUGGGUCUGAUUGCUCAAGACUGUAGAAAUUAGAGCAAAUUUAGACUUUGGCCUGGUUUCAGAGAAAGGGUUUCUUUCUAAGGCUUUUGAUUCUUUAGUGACACGGGUUGAUGAGUUCCUGUUGGAUACAUUCUUUAAAUCAAAUCUUUGGUUGUGAAUGGUCUAAAUGAAUCUGGCUGCAAUGGUUCAGGGAGAAGAGUUUUAAGGCUGCCUCUGGAAAACAUUUGGUGUAAUGUCUUAUUUCAUCACCUCCUGUGUGUUGCUGCAAGGAUCACAUAACGAAGAGAAAACGAGUAAUUCUGCUGUCCUUACCAAACUUGUAUGGCACUUCUCUCUGAGGUUCUAAUUAUUUUCAGUGUGGAGAAGAGGACUACAUAAGGCUCUAGAGAAAUACUUUACAUGUUUUAGAACAGAAUGAUUGCAUGUCCAUUUUGUUUAAUCAGCAUGCUUUUUAAAGAUGGGUUUGAAAUACUUUAUCAACCUCACUAGAGGUGAAAAUCACUGGUUAAUUUGCAGAACAGGUGUUUGGGUAAAAGCCAUGUGAUGAGCACCUUUUUUUCUUCAGAAAGCUGAAGUUAGUAAAGAGGAUUCAAGUUUUACAGAAGUUGCCUGCUUUGUGUUGUGAUGUUGCUCUGAUUUAGCCUACUCACAUGUCAGGGGAUAUAGGACUUGUCUUCUCUCAUCCUAUACUUUUACUUCACAAAAUAGCUACUGUUUCAGUCUGUAAAGUUAAUAUCUAAUGGCUUGUCUUACCCUCUGCAGUACUGUACAAGCAGUGUUGAGAGCCAGGAAGGAAGGGACCACAUCACUUCAGUCAACGUAGACAGGGAAAAUAAAUUCUGUUGUUGCCAGGCAUCAAAUGAAGAUAAGCAAAAAAUAGCUGACAACGGAAUGGAGAAAAACAUGUGCUCUGUUUCAUUACAAGCUCCAGUAUCAGAAAUACAAAAAAACCCCGCUUUUCUUCUUCUGAAGCAUGAUGGUUGAUUCUGUAUAUUAGGUGUAUCUCCCUAAAGAUUUUGCAAAGGCUUUUUGCAAAACCCAAAUAAAAAUGAUGCAGAUCUAGGAUCAUUUUAGAUGUGCUGUUAAAAAUUGUAUAAUGUUUUUCUGGCCAGAAGACAGCAUCUUUGUCUUUGGUUGAUUCUGUAAGAUCAGAUUUACUUGGUAACAGAGUAAUUUUAUUUUUACCUGAGCUACAUAAUCCAGAAAGUAUUCAAACAUACCUUGGGUUUGCCAUCCCUGGUAUGUGAUAAGGGGACCACAAUGCUCUGAUAAUAAUUAAUAAAUGGUGUUUGCAAAUUAGAGGCAUGCAGGUGUAUUUGCAUGGCAUAUUCACACGCCUCUUAUUUUGUAUUUUAGUCUUAAUCCCCAGCUACUCUUGUUGUCUAUAUGAUUGUGUCCUUUUUCUGUCUGUUUUGACAGGAAGUGAAAUCUUCCUUUGCCAAAGGCCCUUGAGUACAGAAAAACCCACGCACUUAAGUCUUGUCAUUGCACACAAAAUGGGUGGUAUCAUUUCAGCUUCAUUCUCCUUGUUCUCCAGGUCUCUGGUGGGAUUCUGGUGCCCUUCUCUCUCCACUUCACUGUGGCCUUUCUUGCCCAGAAUUCUGGCAGCAGUGCUGGAGUGCAUUCUCCACAGAUUACAUGUGCUGCAAUGAGAACCCAGAUCUGCACUUAUUCACCUGAGUAUAAAUAAGUGCAGAUCUGCAGGAUCUGCAGGAUAUGUGAGGCAGGAGAAGAGAGGGUGAGUGGGCAGCUGCCUUCUGUCUUCCAGGUGAAAGAUAGGAACAGAGGAACAGAAGUAGAAGACUUUGGCUGUAGCAGGUCAUUCUCCUAUGGUAACUUGUUUUCCCAAGAAAUAAUUGAAGGGAUGCAAGGUUAGAGCCAUUCAUCCUCAGGUUUGCCCAAGUAGUUAUAUGGGCACAUUUAAAAGGUCAUACGAGUAGAGAAAUGGCAGAUUUGAAAACUCUCCUUUUCAUUCACAAGAUGCAGCAGUUCUGCUCACCUUUGCUUAUGUUGCCCACUGUAAAUAAGCAAUGUUGAUGCUAACUUUUGGACCACAUAUCAUGCUUGGAUCAUGUUCAGGACUGGGGCCAUCCAUAGUUUUAUGCUGCAAUUUUUUUAGUAGUACAGUCUUCAACACAUGGUAUGGAUCCUUGUCUCAUAGACCUCCUUGAAGCAUACCAUGUUUGGGGUGUUUAAUAUGCUAGAGAUUUUAUCCUGAUGUUUGAUGUUCUGUUUACAAUCAGUUUAUGACCAUCAAAGCAUUUAACGAAAACAUAUUCAGAUUUUCUGAUUUUACACUCUGUGAAAUUGUUUUUCAUAUGCUUCAGAUAUAAUGCAUCUGCUGCCUGCAGUUUUACAGUGCAGAGAGCUGCUAAUAAAGUGUUAUUGUUGACAGUUCAGUCACAAUAUAAAAUUAUUACAGCAGUUAAACAUUUAAAGAUGUUUAAUUGGUUUUUAAUGAGUAUUUUGCAAAUUAGAGGCAUGCAGGUGUAUUUGCAUGUCAUAUUCAAAAGCAUUUCAAAAGUACCUUAAUUUUUAAUAGAAUAUUGUGAAAUCUAUUAUCUUGUAAAAAAACUUGAAAUAACGGGUUUUAAUUGUGGAUGCCUUGGAUACUAGAAGUUUCAUCAGUGCUGCUGUGUAGCUACUGGCUUAUUCUUUUAGGAGUACUGCUAAGAAAGUUUUCUAGGAAAAAAAAAUCCUAAACCACAGCAACAACAAAAUACAAAAUAUUAGCAGUAAAAUAUCUGAUAAAAAACUCAAACCUGCAAUAAUAGCAGGAGCAACAAAAAAGGCUGGAUCUAAAACUUAAAUUGGCAAGACAAUAUUAUGUGCCCUUAACUACACUCAGCCAAUCAAACUUGGCAGCAGGAUUUUGUCUUGUUAAUAUAUCUAACCACUAAAGAAAAAGGCCAAAAAUCUUCCUUUGACUUCUGUAGCUGCCUGCAUGAUGCCAGCACUUUAAACUGCUCAGAGCCAGCACCACCUUCCUGCUGCUGGGCUGUCCCUCAUGCACCCAGCACAUGUGGCACACUGAGCCCAGCCCAGCCCUGCUCUGAGCUUGCUGGCACCUCUGAGAGCAGCUGGGGCUCUGCUGCUGGGACAGCCAGCCAGAGCCAGCUUCUCCCUCCUGGCUUUUGUCCCAGUCUCUUGCUUUGUUGUUCAAGCAAUAAUGCCACAUUUUCUGUGUACUCAUCUCCUGCAGCCUGCACAUCUAUUUCAGGUAAGCCAUCUGAAGAGCUAUUGUUGGUUAUCUGCUUUCUGCCCAGGUGGUUGUAAGCUCAGGGAUGCAGUGGAAUCUUGCAUCCAUCUUUUUUUUUUUUUUUUUUUUUUUUUUUUUUUUUUUUUUUUUGUCCUGGUGGAAUUCAGAAUCAUUCCUUUUCUGGCAAAAGGUUUUUCUUUGUCUCCUGGUUCCAGCCAGGCCAGGGUUAAAAUUAACCCUGGCCUGGCUGGAACCAGGGCACUGACAUGAAUCACUGCACUCACAUCUCAUAUUUAAUCUAAAUAGCACCAUAAGUGGAAUAUUAGGUAAGUAUAUCUUGAAAAGAGACAGAUGCUCUGAAAACUAGAUAAGGGACAUGCUUAAAGGAGUUCAGUAAUCAAAAGCAAAUGUGUCAGAUAUCACAGAGUGAAGUAACAAAAUGGAAAGGAGCAAACUAGGUGUGAAUCAGUGGGUGACUUUCAUCAGAGUGGAAAUUUUUUCAUAGGUAUUUUCUUGUUGCCUAUACCUGACAACAUGACAUAGGGAAAUGUCUUUGUGCAGUCUAGAAGUCUGAAAAAGCCUCACUUAGAAAUGGAAAUCAGAACUUUCAUUUUUCAAGUACGUAAAUAAAACAUUUGAAGUUUUGAAAUUUAUUUAUUUUCUAUCAAAAAAUAUGUAAAGGUAUUCUUCUUUAAAAUGAAUAUAUUUAAAGGUAUUCCCAAGUGGUUUUGCUUGAGGAUAAAUCAAUAUCUUAAUAUUAUUAUUUUCAAAAUUAUUUUCAAAACAAACACAGUAUCUAUAUACCUAAGUGCAUGAAAAUUCUAAAGGUAUCCACACCUCAACUACAGAAUAUCUUAUGAUGCUACUAAAUUAGUAACUUUUGAAAAUUACUGGAAGAGGAGAAGAUUAAUCCAGUUGACUUUUAUGUCAGCUGUGGUCUUGAAAACAAAGGAAGCCACAAGGAUUGAAGAACAAGUAUGGUAGUGAAGGGUACGGGGUAAAAGAAUUAGCCUUCCUUUAUGCAAUCUUUAUAAAAAACUUUCAAAUAUGACUCUUUGUGUCACCUGGAGACCAGUCUCUCAAUUACAAUUCCUUACUUCCAUUUGAUUUUUAAACACACAAUCAAUUGCAUUUUAUAUUAGUACUAUCAUGUAACAUAAAUUCCAUAAUGCAUUGGAAAAUAAAUUCCCAAAUAAGUUUACUUAUUUCUAAGCAAUGUCCCUGUAUUUUGUCUUAAAGAUGAUUUGGAUCUCUUUUCAUUGCAGUUAUUCACAGAGAUGUGUAUUUAUGCUGCAUUGCCUAAUGGCUAUGAGAAGAGAUGCAGGCCCAAAAUGUAAAAAUGAAAUAUAUUUCUGUGGGUGGUUUUUAAGAGACAUUGAUUUUUAUUCACCAUCUGUCACAUUGGUUUGCAGCCAAUACCCAUCAGUGAGCUGUGUGAUUAAUGGGGUUCUGAAGAAGCAAUGAAAAAUUGCACAGUUGUUAAAUCUGUUGCUAUAUUUUUCCUUUUGCAUUAGUAUUAUCAUCCUACAGCAUCUCUUGUUAAUGCUAAGCAUAAUAAAUAUGCUGGAUAUAGCACACAUUGCUAUCAAUAGUAAUAAUAACUAACAUAAUACACCACAGACUUCUGAAAAAAAUGAGGCAAAGCCUCUCUGCCUAUAACUUUGCAAAUUCUUCACUCUCUUGAGGCUGUCCCAGAGCCACCUGUGGUUUCUUUGGAGCCAAGGAAAGCCAUCAACAUCUCAUGUACAAACUCCUCAGCUCCAGGUCUGGGCCCUGCCCUCUGUCUCCAGCUCCAGACAGCUGCAGCUCAGCUGUUGUUACCUGACAGGUUAUCCAAAAUCUGAGCAUCUUUAUCUGGUUAAGGUCUUCCAGUGCUCCUCAGUGGAAAUUUGCUGCUUAUUCAUAAUAUUCCAGAUUUGAAAAUUAAUAAAAAAAUGCAAAAUCAUGGUACUUGAAACACAUAUAAUUGAUAUAACAUGAAAUAAUGAUGCAAUACUUAUUUGAAGCCUUGUUGAUAAUAGAUGGUAUCCUAUCAAGUAUGGAAGAAUUAAUUUUCCGUAGUGACUCCAUGCAUCAUAAAUUAUAAUUGUCCUGCCCUGUUCUCAUCCAUAAUGCCUUCAGUUUCCACUGCAUUGCAUGGAGCAACAAUCCAACAACAGCAAAAAUCAAAUCAAGUAUUUCUGUCUUCAGUUGCCUUGCCUGCUUUACACUGCAGAUGAAUUACAUAGCUACCUCAGUGCUACUCAGUAGCUUCAAAAAUGUCAGCAAGCCUUUGGAGUUGCCAUAAUUUUUAAGAGCUUUGAGAAUAAUGCUUGAAAAUGUUUUUGAAGUAUAUUCAGACUUUUUGAGAUUCAUAAGAGCAAACAAUCUGAGAUGACAGAAAGGUGGGGUUUUUUUUGAAAGAUGGCCUGUGAAUUAUUAGAAUGUGCAUCACUUUCUCGGCCUAGAGGUGGAGUUAAUCAAGUCAGGCUCUUUUACAACACUAACUGUCUAGACUUCAAAAUAUCCUAAAAAAGUUGCAAAUCUGCUUUACACAGUACAAUGUGGUUUUUAUAGGUAAAUCAAAUAUAAGACUUUUGUGUCUGCAGCUAAUGGGAAUUUUCACAGUCCUUCAUGAUAUUUAGGAAUCAUCUUAACAAUAUGAAGCUGGCAAGCACUGCUUUUUUUGUCUCCUCUCACAGAAAGCAAAUGAAAUGUUUGUUUUUCUCAUGUGUGCAUGUGUCUGUGCUUUCCUGCAGUUCACUAACAAAAAUAGAUUCUCAAAAUUUGAAUUCUAGAAAAGAAUAUGUAUUCAUAUGCUACAUAUGCUUCAUAUGCAAAGCCACUAGAGAGUGAUCUAUUGAUGGGACUGACAUCAUUGCUAAUUACAAUCUUCUCUUUAAAUUUUUGAGAACCAGAAGUGUCCUGCACAGAAAUUUCUUUAGAAUAAAAUUCCUGCAUUCCAGAAAUUUAAAACUCCAUAAAAUCAUGGAGAGCACAGGGACAAAGUGAAUCAGGCACUGUCAAUUUUCUGGCUUUUUCAGUUAAAGAACAGGGGACAUCAAAGGAAACCAAAGGAGGCCUAUUCAAAACAAAUUUUGGAAAACCUGGGAUGUGAACGAUCUGGUUGCAGGGUGUGGUGAAGCGCAAAUUUUGCAUGGGGUUAUGGGAGGCUGGAUGAGUUGAGCACAAUCUGCUCCUUAAAAGUUCCUGAAUGCACAGAAGCCACUCGGGUCUCUAAGGUGUGGGAGCCAUGGCUGUGCCUGGCACAUCCAGCGUGGCUCUGGGCUCUCCUGUGUCUGUGCUCCCCUCCAGUCACUUCCUCUGGGACCCAGCUGGAGAGAGGAUAUUGAGCUCUACAGAGGGUCUGUACAGACCUUCAGAAUCAUCUCCUGUGUCCUUUCAUUCUUAUCUUCUUUCUAGUGAUUCUAGAUUGUGGUGGAAAACAAUGACAUUGCAAAACUUCUAGUAUGCUAAAAUAUUAUAUUUUUCUCUUGUAUAUAUGUUCUAUAUAAAUGUCUGUAUAUUGCAUAUAUGGCCUAUGUUAUCUUUUAUAUGCAAAUGGCAUCUAUAUAGGUGAAUGAUAAUAGCUUCUAAAACUGCUGUAUGAACAUAGAAGCAUUUCUUUUGUUAGGUUUAAUAAGUUUCCAUUAAUUUUACUUAGAUUGACAUUGAAAUGCAAGGCUUGAAUGCUCAUAACAUUAGGUAUGAAGUUAAAAUCAGUAUUUAAUAUAGUAAUAGUAAUAAGUAAUAAUAAUAGUCAUAUAGUAAAAGUAAUAAGUGUAUAAUGAUAAUAGCUUCUAAAACUGCUGUAUGAACAUAGAAGAAUUUCUUUUGUUAGGUUUAAGAAAUUUCCAUUAAUUUUAUUUAGAUUGACAUUGAAAUGCAAAAGAUUUUAUGCUCAUAACAUUAGGUAUGAAGUUAAAUUCAGUAUCUAAUAUAGUAAUAGUAAUAAGUAAUAAUAAUGGUCAUAUAGUACGAGUAAUAAGUAAUAAUAAUAAAAAAGUAAUAGUAAUAUGGUAAUAUGGUAAAAAGAAAUGGAUGGAGAUUACUCUGUAGAAAUGAAAACUUCCAACUAUUAUAUGAAGCCUUUCCAACUAUCUUAAUUGUACAAUGCAUUUAAAAUUUUAUAAAACUUCACAUAUUCUCAGAAUUAUUUAGUGUUAGUAUGCUUUAAAUCAGACUUAUUAUCAUGGUGAAUUUUUUGUGAAACUCUGGGUUUGGAGGUGUUAAAACUGCCUAAACAUGAAACCUAUAAUUUAUGUCCAUCUUGGAAGUGUUUUUGGGUUUUUUUUUUUCCCAGGGAAUAUGGGGUAAGAGCUUUUCCAAGUUGUGAUUCAGGGCAGGGCUUUGAAUGGCUUCUUGUAUCAUCCCCAUUGUCCAGUGGCUAUAGAACAAAUUAGUGUUCUAAAUCUUGGCACAUGGAUUAAGAUCUUUUUGUGACUAUGCCUUUGUGCCAUUUUCAUGAGUUACUCCACACCAUACUUAUAUAUUUCACAGGCUAAAUUGCCCUAGGUUCUGCCAGUGUAUGUCUGUAAAUUAUUAUAAUCAGGACUACUGCUGAAAGGUCCAUGAAUCCUUCAGAGCAGGACACUCCAGCUGUGCUCGUUCAGUGCCCAUCACAAUCAGGCCUGAUUCUUGCCUGGAAUUUUUGGGCACUGUAACAAUACAGAAAGUAAUGCUAAUAGCCUUUGGCUGUUGUCUGCAGAUGUUGAACCCAGGAGGCAAGGCUCUGCAUGCAGGAAGUACUAAAAUACCCCAUUUUCCUAGGACAGCAGUGACAGAUUGUUGAACUCAUGUAUUCCCAGACCAGAAAGACACAGAAAACUGCUGAAAAAAAGAGGAGAGCAGGAAUCAGAAACCAAUGUGACAGAAAGAUUUCAGCCAGUUUCUGCUUUCCACUAAGCUGCAAAAAGUACCAUCACCAGUGGGAUCCAGGGAACUUUUAGCAAUUUUUUAAUAUGAAACUGAGUGAAAAGAUAUUUACACAUUUCUACUAUGCUUUUUGGAAAAGUCUUUAGUGUGGAGUAAGUGUGCUUUCUGUUAAGGCUGUUGAAACAGCUGCUUGCAAUCUUAUUCAUUCUAAUGUAGCCAGCAGGUAAGAGAAUAAUCAUUUAUCAGCCUCUUGCUUUCCUUGCCAGGUAUGAAAAAAAUAGCUAAUGAUGUAUACAAAGACAAUUCUCAUUGGAUUAGCCAGAACAAACUGCCUAUGUUUCAAACAAGGCUAUUGGCAGCUUUCAUUUUUGGAUCAGCAGAGGAAGUUCACCAGCAAGGGUUAGAAUGUCAUUUACACAACAGAGCCAAAACUCCAAAAAGGUCAGAAAAACUUAGCACAUUUUUUAAGAGGGACUCAACCAUUCUUGUCUAAAUAACAGGAAAGAAAAUAGCUCCUUUUUUCUCCAGGUUGUAGCACAUCAGUACCUCUUCAAGCACUUAGGAUACCUCUUUACUCUUGCAGGUUAGAAACAUUUCUACCCUUUUCAUGACUCUUACCUGUGCUCUGCAGUAUCUGCAGGCUGAGAGUAGCUGUACAAGCAUCCACAGGAAAGCAGAAAACUCUGCUCUGGGGCGUCAUACACAGUUCUAAGAGUGAACCCAAAAUUCUGAAUCACAGCUGUGGCAAUAGUAGGUGAAUUGUAAAUCAGCUUCCAGCAUCCUGGUUUACUGUUGUGUUUAAGAAAGACAACCAUUUGUCUCCAGCUAGAAACAGUUGUAGAAAACAACAUAACUCACUUUCCAGUGGUUUGUACAAACUUAUUUUUCAUUUGCCACAUUAAUUUUCAUAAUCUCCAACUAAAAAACCAAGUUAGAGCUUCUCUGUGACACUCAAGACAAAAUGACAAACUUGUCACAGUUUUAAAAGGACACUAGCAGGUCCCUCUGCAUUGACUUGUUUUGUUGUGAGAAUUAUUACUUUUUAACCACAGUUUCGAUUUCCCCUUCUUUCCUGCACUGUGUGUUCCACACAGUAAGACAGGAGAAGAAAAUCAUGUCUAGGGAGCACAAAAUCAUGUGAACCCUUCCUCUGGGAGCCUCCAGUCUGCCUAACAUGCAGAGUGGGGUACCAGCACUGGUUACUUCAUGGAAGUUGAAAGACAAUGUCUUGGCACUAGGUAGAAAAUUCCUAAUAUCACAGCUCACUACAGGUCACUCAAGGAUGUUACAUCAAUGAUCUUAAUGAUACCUUGAUGUUUUAUCCCCUCCCAGCUGCCAGAAAAACUGAUCAAUGCUGGACACCCUCUUUCUACUAAAACCUCAGUCUCCAUAUCCUUUCUUUCAAAGGAAACUGUUUCAUUUCAAACUUUAUUCCAUAGCAGGAAGUCUUCGAGAAUAAAUGAGAUUUUGAAUUAAUCUUAACUUUGAAUUAAGUUAUUUCCAAGUAUGAUUGAACCAAACAAUAAUAUAUUAGUGUUAGAUACUCAGGAUUCUCCUACUUUUUGAUCAAAUGGCAUUCAAAGGGGCAAUGAAAACUUACUUACGAUACUUUGAUCAACAAAGACUGAAGCAUACACUUUCAAAAUGUUUUAUACUCUUCAGUCUUUCUUUUUUGUAUAAAUUUUUGUCAAAAAAAAUUUCUUUCAAAUGUAUUCAAGCAACUUAUGAAGUAAAAUGUAAUCUUGUUUUUUAGUUCCUUUUAUCCUAGAAGUUGUGAUUCCAAAAUCCCAAAAUCCUUGGUCUUCCAUGGCUUCAUGGCUGAUUGACAUGCUCCAGCUGCUGAAACAAACAAAAAUCAAAACUGCUUCAUUUUGUAUGAUGCAUUUUAAUAAGAGCAUAUUGUGUGAGGAUGGACACUGUCUGGAGAUAAAAAUAAUAUUGUUACGUGCUACUGGAGAUUGAGAGUCCAGUCAUAUGUUUUCUUGGUGUUUGUAUUUACAAGUCUGAACUCAUUCACUAAAUAGUCCAAGAGUAAAUCAGCAAAGACAGAAGUGUGUUUCCCAGCUGGGGACUUUUAUAGACCAGUAAAAAAAAAAAAUAAUUUGAAUUUUAAAAUGUACAUAAGGGUCAAGCAAAAAAUAUCCUGGCAACUAAACAACAUUGGAAUAAAAUAUUUCUUACAAACAAAUAACUGUAGAACCUGCAUAACCAGCUAGUAAACAGAAUGAAAUAUAUCUUUAAACUCUAUCAUUUUUUUAAGUACAAAUUCCGCCAUUUUCUUUCUUUUUAAGGGGUGCUUAUCUGUUAUAGACAAAUGAGCUAGAAGAUUUUCUGCUUUGAAGAUAUAUCCAUUUUGUUUGCAUGAAUCCAAGAAAAUUUGGAUCCUCUCAAGGCCACAUCAAAGAGUUUAUCAUAUUCAUGCAUCAAAAAGGUAGUGAUAGAGAUGCACUUUUAAGAGAAAACCCUGUAGCUUCAUUUUUGCCUUAUAUUUAAAUGGGGUUUUCAAAAAGAGGGAAAAUUACAAGAAAAGGCAAUUUUUCACAAAAGGAAAAUACUCAUCUUUAAAAUGACUUUUCAAUUUAACUGAAAAUUAAAUAUAUCUUUCUAAAAUAAAGGAUUUCAAUUAGGAAUAAAAAAAUCUAUUCACCAUUAUAUGAUUAAUUUAAGCUUUGAAGAACAGUAAGCAAUGUUUUUUUUCUUUGCAACAUGAAAGAAUAUUUAAUCUUUAAAGAAAUUCAAGCAUUAAUUGUCUCUUAAUCCAAUCCAUAGCAUAAAUGUGAGUGUAAUCCUAUGAUACCCUGCAGUAUCUAUCUUAGUAAUAUUAUCCCAUGUCCUGUGUCAACUCACUGCCUUGUAAAGGCCUUUUAUCUUUGAUUCUUUUGCUUGAGAGGGUUACAGCCACUAAAUCUCCAAAGCCUCCUCUUUCCCUAGAAAGACAUCACACAAAAUUGAGUAAAAUAUCUCAGAGUUUCUGGGUUUUCCUCUCAAUUUCCUUUCUCAUCCAUCACUGCCUUUCAAAGUCCUGUCAGUAGUAUUUCUAUUAGUGAUGGGUUAUUUUGUUGGUUCAGGCAAUCACUUUCAGUUUUAUUAUUUAUUGAUGUUUAUAAGGAAGCACUGAACAACUGAUCUCAGUGACACAGGAAUACUGAGUGGGCAAGGCUUCUUUUUGGCCUGUGUCUUUAAUCCCUAAUGUUGUUUGAGAUCUCAUGACCUUUAUAGCAAUGUGAUUGUGAAAAAAUUCUGUCAGCUUCCUCAAAGUCUGAAGGAAAGGCAGUCCUGGAAAGCUUGUCUAGGUGCUAAAAGUGCUUUCCCAAUCCUGCCAGUAUUCGUAAGCUGUGAUUGCAAACUGUAAUUUUAGAAUUAAAAAUUUGGAAUUAUUUGUUGGGCUACAAUUAAAUUAUAGGACUUAUUUUUGCAGGAUAUUUCCAUGGCCAAAACUACUAAUGUAAGGGCUUUUUUACUGCUUAGUAAGCACAAUAGCCCACAUUCUACUUUUAGCUUAGGAACCUCUAAUCCACUAUCUGGACAUACCUCCAUUCUUAUGUCCAUAAGCUACCACUGCUACUCACGGGUGGAGACCUAAAAGUUGAGUAGAAUGACCUUUGAUGUGAUAUUGGUAAGAGAGUUAUUCUAUCAUUAUGUUUAUGUCAUGAUGUCUGUUUAUACCAUUUCUUUAUUUGUGUGCAGAGAUGAAAUAAUGCUAUUGUUACCCUCAAAUUCACUCUGUCUUUUCAUAUGAGAUUAAUAAGGAUUAAUUUAAUAACAUUUAGAUAAAUAAAUUAAUUUAAUUACACUGUAAACUUCAAAACCUAAUACAUAGCUAAGUGUCAACUCUCCAGAGAACUGACACCACUGUGAUUAAUGCUAUAAUUUUUCUCAUUUUCCAUGUCGUUGCGCACAGAACUUGUCACUCAUUAUCUCAGACAUAUAGCAUGGUGAUAAGUGGAGACAAUGCAUGAUUCUCAGCCUGUUUCACACUUUCUGCUUUCAAAUGAAUCCAUUUAUCUCCACUGAAAAACCUAGAUUCAAUGAUCUAGGUCUGAAAAUCUUGUUACUACUUAGAAGCUGCAGAUGAAUAUCAUGAUAUUCUUGUCUGUAUAACUUUUACUAAUGGAAAAGUAAAAUGGCAUUGAUGUUUUCAUGUUUCUGAUUGUCUUCACUUGCAUCCUGUUUCAAGGCUGCUCGAAAGUUUGUUAUGGUUGGCCAGGCUACAGAAAAACAUUAUGUACAGUCACCCUGGCAGCCUAAAAGCACUUUUAAUUUCUUUAUCCCACUUUUGCAGAUUAAGGAUAUUCUGAGUUUCCCUGGACACUCUGAAGAAGGAUUCCAGUGGAGAAAGCUCAGUUUAUAUAUGACGCUCUUUUUUGAGGAAGCAGACUUGUCUUUUUGAUGCACCACUCCUAAUUCUAGACAGGACAAUACUGCUGGAGCUGCAAUUUCUGGAUCACCAAACCUCCAAAACAGAGAAGGUCCUCAGCUUGGCAAUCCACUUGCUGUUCCCAGCUAAAGCAAUUCUGCAACACACUUUUCUAGCCACAGACCAUCUGUAAAGAGCAGAAUGGAAUCUUCCUCAUUCAUGAAGAUAUAAGACCACCCAGAAGCGAUUGCUGUCCAGCAAUGGGAACUGGAAAGAAAGCAGUGGGUUUCAGAUAAACAAAGCUCCUCAGACACCCUGAACAUCCUGACUCGGUGAUGAGGGAUGCUAGAAGAGCUCUCAUUUAGAGACACUAGAAGACCAAAAGAGAGUGCAGCAACAGAAGGAUGGAGAAGAGAAGCUCCAGGAGUGAAUCCUCCUCAUAGCCAGGGAUGGGAGAAGUGCUGAACAGCUGAGACUCACGGCAGUAUCAGCUGGUGAUUAAACAGCUGAAAAAGGGUGAAGAGCUAUUGAAAAAUGUGAGAUGCUCAACCAGCUGCAAUCCUUGUGCAGGGGAGGACUGAGAGAGUAAUUUAUCCUGUGGAUCCACAGCUAUCUUCAGAAGAUUUAACCUCUAGGAGCAUCCUUCCCCGGAUGCCAUUCCCUGAUAGGAAGUGGUCUGGAGGCAGAACAGUUCUCCACAGCUUGGACAUUGAUCCACAGCUCCAUGAGGAAAUGGAUAAGAUUUGUAGGAUGAUGGCAGGAGUAGAAAAGAGGACUGGCUGGGGUAUCAAACAGCAUGGUAGGUUCUUUGACUGAUUAAAAGCUUUCUCUCAAACCUUAUUUUGAUGUGAAAUUAAGUUUUCAGCAAAACAGUAUUUUUGUAAGUACUGCCUGUGUUCUGCAGGCAGCUUUGAUUUCUUUAUUGCUUGAAAGAACUACUUAGAAGUUUCCAUUUUUGUAGCUAAAAAUAUGCCUAGAAUCUUACUUACUGUGUGUUUUAACUGAAAAAUAUAUUUUACACUAGGAAAAAAAAAAUCUAACUUUUUUCUGCUGUCUACUUAUCUUCUAUUUUACAACAGAAAAAGUACAUCUAUUUGCUUUUCAAGGUAUGUAUAAGCAUAGAUAGAAUAAAUGCAAAAUAGCAUAAACAGAGUUUACCUUACUUAAUAAUAAGUAGUUCAGCAAGAAAAAGAGUCUUCCUUAGAUGCUAUUAAAUGCAAUGAAAUUGCCAGUCACUCUGUUACCUCUAAGGGUUUGGAUCACUUUUCUCAGUAAUGCAUUUCACAUUUUCCCUUAACCUGUAGACAACUGAAUUACCUUCUGACUGUACUUUUCAGGAGUUACUUAGAUGCUGGAUAGAAUGACUUCAGUUUUGGGUUCUAAAUGUUUCCAUAUAUAGAAAACAAAUCCAUCCAAUUCUGAUCUGCUUUCUCUCACUGUCUAAAUAUAAAUUAUUUUUAAAUUUUGGAGUUUUUAUUUGUUACUAUCAGGAGAUCCAGGAGUUUUGAAGUCCUUUAUCCACAAAGCGGGAGUGUAUUCCCAUGGACAAGGUGCACAGAUGCUGCUGGCCAGGCCCUUGCUGUGAGUUUUCAUGGCUUAGAGCACUCAGGUCAUGUUGCAGUGGUUUUGAUUUUCAGCAACAGAACAAUGAGGAGAGCAGCCUGUAAUUUAGAAGUAUUUCUGUACUGCAGAAAGAUUUCAUCCUUCUUCAAAUUUUUUCCAUAUUUACUGAAGUUUUUUCAUAACUUUUCCUGCCUACCACUUCAUCACUUUCCCAUUCUGAUGCUUUCUUUGACAGCUCUGCUUUUCCAGCCAUGCCUACAAAUGCCUCCAUAAACUUUUCUCUCUCUCCCUUAUCACAGAGGGCUCCAGGCAGCAGCCAGCCCCAAAAUACAAAGCCAAGAGAAACACACAGUAAGAGCUCCAAUUUCUUCAUGUGGGAAAUCUAACAGAAAUGUAAUAUCUAAACACAAUAGGGCAGAAAUAUGGCUUGAAACAUGUUCAAACUUGAUGCAGGCAAAACAACAGACUAGAUGCAUCCCUUCAGUCUCAAAUGCAAUCCCAAGAUUCCCUUCUAGCACACCUUAGCUCAGUGUUCUCCAAUUCCCUGUCCCAAAAGUUUAGAAUCCUACUGUCUGUACUAUGAGCCUUGGUUUACAAGGCUUCUCUGAUCUCAGCUUGUAACUAUUUUGGGAAAAAAAAAACCACCAGAAACAAGCUUUUCUAACAGAAAAGACUUAAUCUUCUCUGGCUUCCUAUUCUGGGGUUGCAAUGCAGUGUGAUAUUCUUUGCUAUGUGUUUUGGGCUAUAUUUUAUGUCAUCUGAGAAAAUAGAAAUGUAACAAUGAAGGCAGCAGUCACACUGCCUCUGAUACAGCAAAGAAACAAAAAUCCAGCAUACUAAUGAAAAAUUGCAAAAAACUGCAUGUCAAGGGAAAUCCUCCAAAAAAACAGCUCUUUGGGUGGAAAGAAAGGUCCUGCAGGAAUUGCUCGGUGUGAACACCAAGUGGCAUCCUGGGAAUUAAAUUUCCCUCUCUGGCACAGCAAGGGCACAUAAUGUGCUUUGCACAGGCUCCCCUUUCACUGCAAUUCAUACCAGCAUCAGCCCUAGGAUAAAUCCUGGCCUAGUCACUCCAUGGAAACAUUUUCUUUGAAAGUUAGUACUGUAAGUUCACUCCAGCAAUUGAAACUUGGCUUUGCAACCUGUGCUGGAUAACUUUCACUCAUAGUUAUUGUCCCAUCUCUUUUUUAUUUUCUGCCCACACAGCUCCUGCUUCAGCCAGCACCAGGGAGAGUAGAAAAAUAAAAAUUAGGAGAUCUCCUCAGUGCCUUUAGGUGGUCUAAGAGCAGGAGAUGGCAUUGCAGGCAAUGGAUGGGUGUCCCUCCUUUGUCAGGUUGGCAGCAGGCAGAGCUCAGUCCUGCAGAGGUACAGGGGUGGAAUCAGGAACCAAACUGCCUGCCCACAGAUCUGGAUAUUAGGAAAAAAAGCAACUGGUUCCUCAGGAGGGAAGAAGACAUAUCACAUCCAGUUUUACAUCCUUUUUCAGAAACUGAGCUGUAUUUUUUUUGUUGGAAAUUUAGGCACCCAUUAUAUUUUACAUCUUUUUCAGCUUGUUUUUCUUUAGGCAGUUUCUCAUCAAAGAGUGUCCUCUGUGUCUGUUGUUGUCUUCUUUUUUUCCUCUAAUGGAAAGCUGUUCUGAACUCUCAGCCAAGAUGGGGAUAAUAAAUACCUCCAAAUGAUCAUUCUUUCCUUAGGUGCAGGUGGGAGCUCAGUGUACCAGCACACAGUGUCUGCUAAUAAUUUUAUGCUGUGUGUACUGUAUUCACAUUAAAAAAAAAAGGUGGGAUAAUAAUCUUCCGUGCAAUUUGUGGGAUCAGUCCUAAAACCUGGAAAAAUAAAUGUAUUUGCACACCUCAUAGUACUGAUUUGAUUUUUCUGUUAAAUCAGAGCUGCUAACCCCUGGAUUACCACUAGGAAUAUAAGAAGAACUGGGAAACUUCAAAUUGUUAAAGUUUGCUGUAAGGCUGGUUUUAAAUAACUGACCUCUAAUCCCACUUGAACAUUACACAUGAACAUCUCUACAUUGACUUAAAAAAUAAUUCAAGACCCAGGAAUACUGGUUCAAUACUGCUUUAUUCUUGCCAUAACACAUAGUUGGAAAUAUAGUCUAUCACUCCAUACAAAUAGAUGGUUUGUAGCAUUUUAUUAUGGUACCUGGGUUUUAGCUGGGAUAGAAUCAAAUUCUUCUCAGUAGCUGUCACAGUGCUGUGUUUUGGAUUUGGAAUGAGAAUGGUGUUGAUGGCACGCUGAUGUUUUGGUUUUUUUGAUAAUGUGUGUUUAUUCUGAGUCAAGGGUUUUUUGGGGGUUUUUUGGGGAUUUUUUGGGGUUUUUUUGGGGGGGUUUUUUGUGGUUCUGUUUGUUUGGUUUUGGUGUCUCAUGCUCUGCCAGUGAGGAGCUGUGCAAAAGAAACUGGGAGGGAGCAUAGCUGGGACAGGUGACCUGAGCUGAUCAAAGGGAUAUUCCAUUCUAUGGAAAGCCAUGCCCAGUAUAUAAACUGGGGGGAGCUGGUGGAUCUGGGCUCAGAAGGGGCAUCAGUCAGUGGGUGGUGAGAGAUUGCAUUGUGCAUCACUUGUUGUUUCUUUUCUUAUCAUCAUUAUUAUUGUUAUCAAUCACCAUUAUUACUGUAUUUUAUUUCAUUUUCAAUUAUUAUACUGUUCUUAUCCCAACAUACAAGUUUUACUUUCAAUCUCUUCCCCAUUCCACUAGGGUGAGGGAGAGAGGGAGUGAAUGGCUACAUGGGGUUUAUUUUUCACUUGGGCUUAAAACCACAGUAUGUGGUUAAAUGAAAUUACAGCAGAAGAAAUCUUUUUGCAGAUUCUUAUGACCUAUUAUUCUGUCAAGUGAAUGUGAUGAUUUAGAGGUGUAUCAUGGUUUGAAUAUUUAAAAAAAUAUAUAAUAAAAUCAUAAUAUUAAAGACUAGGCAUUCUUUGUAUCUGUCACAACUUUUGCACUUUCUUUCCUGUUAAAGACAUAUUUCUCCCUGAUCUGUUUAUUUGUGUAAAAUGCAAAGUUUUCAUUGCACUUUGGUAUUGGUUUUCUCCUAACGCUUUUCAAAUCUUUGUUUUGCCUUCACAGAAUUUCCAAAGCAGCACCUAUGUUUGCAAAAACUGGAUGUUUUGGGAGCUGUGCUGUAACUGUACUACUCUUUCCAGCAGUAGUGUUAGUAUAUUGCCCUAAGUCUCUCAAAUGGAACAGAUGCAAUUCCACAUUUUGUACUCUGAUUUCACACUCCAAGCUCAGUUACACCGUUCUGAUAAAUGCACAAGGUUUUUGACAGGCUUCCAUUUUAGCUCAUAUAUAAAACAUAUAGCAUUAGAAUAAUCUAAGUAUUUUUUUCUUUACUAAUGGCAAAAUGAAAACAGCUAAUUUGUAGAAGAUAUUUUUUUCAGAACAUAUAUUUCAUAUAUAGCCUCACUAAAAGGGAUGUGAUGAUAAAAAAUACCAAGAGAAUACUAUGGGCCAUAAAGAGCAAUAAGAUGACGGAGUUGUUAUUUAUACUAUUUUUUCCCUUUUAUUCUUUCCCAACAACUGUCUCAUUACCUGCUUUUAUUGUCUUGUAAUUCUUUUUAAAACCUCCGAAUCAUGGAAAAGUAUUGUCAUAUUCUUUCCCAUGUCUGAUAAUUCAUUGGCAAUAUUAUCAGCACCUGGUGUCUUGUUGUUCCUGAGGUCCUGAUUGCCUCUUGAAUCACUUCAAAAUUUAAUCCUUCCACAAAUAGCUCAUGUGUCUGGGAGAUGUAUUUUUAUUCACUAUUAAACAUCUCCCUGUAGUGGGCACAUAAAAGUACUUUUCCUUGCUCUUCUGUAAUUGAGUUUUUUAUAAUUAAAAGGAUUCCUUAUUUGUUCUUUAUCAGACAUAGACAUGGUUAAUAUACUCUCUUCCACACAGCAAUACCCUUAUAAAAUAUGUUUAUUUUACUAAUCUUACUAACCUAAUUAUUUUUUUUUCCCAAGCCAUGGAAGUAUUGCCUUUCCACUUGCACUGCUGACCUCAUGAGUUUCCUUCUGGCUUUAGAGCGUUAGUCAUCUGGAGUUGAUGGCUCCACCAUUUCUAUAUGUCAAUCUCAGCUGUCUUCCUGCAAUCUUUAUCAAACCAUUCUUUUCCAUUAUUUUUGAAUUUGUUCCUACUAUCUGUUCUAAUGUUUUCUUUGCCAUCUCCUUGCAGAGGUCCCACCUGGUAUCAGUUUUCUCAUAAACUUCCCAAAAGUUUCGUAAGACUCCAAACACUUUUAACUUCUGACCAAUAUUCCUCUCCUUAUUCUGGAUUCUCCGAAGAGUUUUCUUCUGUGUCUCAUCUGCUUUGUUUCAUUUUGCUCAGUUCUUGGUUGGAGGCAACUAUUUUCCUGUAGUACAGAGCUCACCUGCAGCCAGCUCCCCGUCUCUUUCUCCUGUGACUUUAACAUUCUCAUCUGGACCCCACAAAUCUUCCUCCCCUUCCUUAGGGUAUCAAUCAUCCAGGAAAACACUGGCAGUUUAAAUAAACUUACAUUUAGUUUUUCAGAGAACCAAUCUUGUAUUCUAUGAUCAGUGAGCUUCGUCAGAAUGACACAGUUUUUCCUGGUGCCUUCCCUUAAACCACAGGCGUUAUUCUUCUGUAUAUCUAUAUAUCUGUAUAUCUGACUUGGAUAACUUUGGGCACACCUGCAGCAAUCCAAAAUAUAGGGAAAAGGUACUGGCAAACAAAAGCCUAAAGACUGUUUAAAACAUUGGCUAGUACAUGCUUUUGCACAAUACUUUGUCCUGUUUGCUAACUGAAAAAUUCAUUCACUCUGUAACUUAAUGUAUUAAAAUUCUAAACAUACAAAAGUCAGCAAAAUGUAAAUAGGAAAACAAUACAGCUGAAAGAGGAAAGGCAAUCAAAUUUAAAGCAAAUAAUGAAGAAUAACUUCACAUUUAUUAAUUAUUUGUAAACAAAAUUUAACUUAAACUGCAUCACUUUGAACCUUAUUUAAAGUCAGACUGAGUGUGUGACUACAUGCCUAAAUCACAUUGACUGAAAUAAUUGUGCCUUCUUACAAAGCUGAGCUUGGAUCUUGAAGUUAAUGGAAGUCUCCAUAGUGAGUUUAUUAAAAAUUAUGUUUAACACAACCAGGAUGAUGAUCUGCCCACUUGCACCCAGUGGGUUUUGGAAGAAGCCUCCCAAGGAAGGUGAGUUCCAUGUGCCACGGCAGAAGGGACUGUGACCUCGGUACCUUGAAGCUCGUGGUGUUUGACUCUGCGGAUAGAUCCUGCUGAUUCCCCCCAGCUCCCACCAGUGCAAGGGAAUCACAGUGCCUCACCUGCCUCGUUUUGUGUCCUAACAGAAGGUUGCCCUGUGAAGAGAUGCUGACUGGUGCCUUGACAAGCCCUUCCAACCUCUCAAAAUGUGUAAGAUACAACAGUUAAUAGCCAAGAAAACAAAGACUUACACUUGAAAUCUAUGCAGCAAAAAAAAGAGACCAAAAUCCAGGUUCUGGCCAAAGAACACCACAGGAUGAGGCACUCACAUAUCAAGGCAUGAGGGCACCAAGCACAUAAUCUCUUGAAUUUCAGCAUUCUGCACCAGAUCCUGCAAACCACAGAAGUUGUCUGAGCCUCCUCUGGGAGUUGUUGCCGCAGUCUGUGGGAUCUUUGCCAUUCCCAAACCAUCUUCAGCCAAGCCUUCAGCAGGGUGGGAGUGGGGGAACCACGCCGAGUGGGCUGGGCUGGGGGACCAGGUGGGCCCCAGGAGCCACCUCUCUGUGCUGGCACCCUGAGCUGGCUCUUCCAGCCCACAGCUUCUGUCCAGCAUGAGGAAGAGUAGCACGGGGAAAAAAACCCUGCAAAACUUCCUAACACCUUUUCUUUGGCCAUGGAAGUUCCUUCUUAUUUUUAUAACUAAAACCAGCUCAUGUUACUCAGAAGGAAGAUUGCUUAGAAGAGAAGUAUUCCAUGAAAAAAAGUUUGUGGACUAGUUGAGCCUAUUUCUUUGCAGAGGACUUUUCUCCGAGAUUUAAGAAUUAAGUAUAGCUGAUGGGAUAUCCUGGGAAUGCUGUUUGACUGGGGAACAGUUUGUGUGGUAAAAGUAUAUAGUUACCUUUUUCUAGUGUGCUUUCAGGGUGAUGCUCCAAGUUUAGGACUGGAAACUUUGUAUUUAGGAAAUGAAAAGUUACAAAUUGUCUUUUUUUUUUCCCUCUCCUUGUAAAAUAAUCUGAAACUGGGAAGCAGAUUUUGAGAAUUCGUGCUAAUAUAGCUAUUUGAAGGGACUUUACCAAGGAGGCUGAGUGCUGAAGACUGCCUCUCCCAGAGCAGAGGAUAUCCUUCACUCCUCAGCGUCAGAGAAAGCUCUACAUAAUUAUCUGAUUUUACACUACUUUGAGGAAGUCACAGGAAAAUAAACACAGAAGCAUCCCUGGCUUCAUUUAUUUCUAAUAAAGCUUAUAUUUUUCUGUGCUUCAUUCUUACCCAGACAUAGGCCUUAAAGAGUAAAAACUUUCCUUAAGGCAGCAUUAAUUAAAACUAAAGAGUAAAAUAUUUUUUUUAAAUAUUUAAAAAUAUUUUUUUCUAGAGAUGGUGAUUUCUGAAAGCAUUGCCUGCAAGAUACAGGAAAUAUUCACUUUGCUUUAGGUUCCACUAGGUUCCUUACUCAUAUAAAGUCAUGCCUGGGAAAAUAUUCUUUCUAAUGAAAAGGAGUAAAUUCUAUGCCAAGACCUCUUUUUCUCUUUUCUGUAGACACACAGAAAACUUUAUUUCUAGUGGUGGAAUACACAAUUUUCAAGAAUGUAUUGAAAGACCAGAAGGAAGUAAGGCAAAUAUUUUCAUGGAUGUCUCUAAUUAUGCUUCCAAUUUUGUGUUUAGCUUUCCAGACCUGAGAUUUUUGGAUCCUAAAAUAGAAACACAUUAAACAAAAUAUGGUCUUUAUCAUUAAUUAAAACACUGCACUAUUAGAAAAUUAGUAUUUUUGUGGUUUUCUAUUGAUUCAGGCAAAAAUUAAGUAUUAUGGUAAUAUUUGUUUAUUUCAGGCAACGGGCAGAAAAAGUGAUCUAUUCUUACAGCAGCCUGGAUAAAGUCCAGAAUGUCUGAUUUCCAACUCACUGUAACAACAUUCCAAAAGGCCAGCUGAUUUGGAUAAACACCGGUAUCUUAAUAUUUAUUUUCCAUAUAGCCUCAGCCGCAGGUUUUUCGAUGUCAGAACUUCCUCAAUGAACUGGAAACUUCUUGUUUUGGUGCAUAGACAUUAAACAAUUCAUAUUGUUCUAACAAUAUCUUUCCUGGUAAGUCAAGCCCAGAGAUAAGCCAUAUAUUAAACUUCAGGCUAAAACAUUGUGUGUCAGUGCAGCCAGAUCACCAGCAGGUUGUGGGUCCUUUUGUGCUUAGGUGAUAACAAAUCCAAGGGUGGUCCAGGCUAUCUGCUGGCAGAGGCAAACCCCUCAUUCUGCUUCUCAACUACUUCCCCUCCACUUGUUGCCUGUCUUUUCAAUUUAGACUGUAAAGUCUUCAUUGCAGGGUCCUUCUUUCAGCCCCUCUUUGCCUAUUGCCAGGAAGAAGGAAUCCCAGUCCCAGGAUGAGUCUCUAGGUGCUGCUGUAACACCAAUAAUAACACAUGUUGCUGCGAAUAUUUUUCCAGAUAUUAAAUCUGUACCAGGACUGCCUGAUGUCUGUGGUUCCUCGGAAAGAGGAGGACAGAAAUAUCAUCUUUUCUGUAGACUGUGGUUCUGACACCACAGGACUGGUGUCCCACCCAUGCCGUAUCCCACCAGUGUGAACAGCUUCCCUCCCCUGUACUGGGGCAUGAGAAGGAUCUGCCUGCCCCAGAACCUGCAGCCCACAUUUCAGGACAUGAAUGCUUUGAUCAAACAGAAGCAUGGCAUGUAUAUGCCCCUUUUAGGCUAGUGUAUGAGGAAUUUCAUCCAAAACAUGGCCUCUGCUUGCACCUAUUUCCAUACGUGUUAAACUGCCAGACUCCUUGCUAUCAGCAAGUUAGCUAGUCAGCACUAGUCUAGCACUAGUUAGCUAGUUAACCCUAGUCUAGUACUAGUUAGGACUAGUGCUGUCCACAUUACAAUUGUAAAAUUGCUAACAUAGCUCUGCUGCAAGGCAUUUCCUCCCAUGACUUUGGGGUUAAAGGAACUGCAAAUUCGUCUAGCUUCCCUACUACCUUUGUUUAUUUAUUUACACAUACUGUAGAACUAGAGAAACAAAAGCAACAGACAGCCAAGUACAGUGAGAGAAAGACAGAGUGUGACACUAACUGGACAGGGAAAACAAGAUAUUUGGUUGCCAGUUAUGCAUUUCCUUCUAUCUACCUUUUACUGGAGUUAAACCAUCUCACCUGUCUUUGUAGAAGUGCUUUGAGAACAGUGGAGUGAAAUAGCAUAUACAUCUGUGUAUUAUUAGUACUAUAAUUGUUGUUAUUAUUGUUAUUGUUAUCUACAGUAAAAAAAAAGUGUUUUGUUUUCUCA